rnacentral:rRNA from 1 species
CUAGAGUUUUGAACCUGGCUCAGAUUGAACGCUAGCGGGAUGCUUUACACAUGCAAGUCGAACGGCAGCGCGAGAGAGCUUGCUCUCUUGGCGGCGAGUGGCGGACGGGUGAGUAAUAUAUCGGAACGUGCCCAGUAGCGGGGGAUAACUACUCGAAAGAGUGGCUAAUACCGCAUACGCCCUACGGGGGAAAGGGGGGGAUCGCAAGACCUCUCACUAUUGGAGCGGCCGAUAUCGGAUUAGCUAGUUGGUGGGGUAAAGGCUCACCAAGGCAACGAUCCGUAGCUGGUUUGAGAGGACGACCAGCCACACUGGGACUGAGACACGGCCCAGACUCCUACGGGAGGCAGCAGUGGGGAAUUUUGGACAAUGGGGGAAACCCUGAUCCAGCCAUCCCGCGUGUAUGAUGAAGGCCUUCGGGUUGUAAAGUACUUUUGGCAGAGAAGAAAAGGUAUCCCCUAAUACGGGAUACUGCUGACGUAUCUGCAGUAGCCGACCGCC